AUCCAGCUGACGAGUCCCGAAUAGGGCGAAAUGCGCAUCCUGGUGGAU
rfam:Trichobilharzia regenti genome assembly, scaffold: TRE_scaffold0083954